rnacentral:rRNA from 1 species
GGGUUGUGAGGUUAAGCGACUAAGCGUACACGGUGGAUGCCCUGGCAGUCAGAGGCGAUGAAGGACGUGCUAAUCUGCGAAAAGCGCCGGCGAGGUGAUAUGAACCUUUGACCCGGCGAUGUCCGAAUGGGGAAACCCAGUGUGUUCCGACACACUAUCGUUAACUGAAUACAUAGGUUAACGAGGCGAACCGGGGGAACUGAAACAUCUAAGUACCCCGAGGAAAAGAAAUCAACCGAGAUUCCCCCAGUAGCGGCGAGCGAACGGGGAGCAGCCCAGAGUCUGAAUCAGCUUGUGUGUUAGUGGAAGCGUCUGGAAAGUCGCACGGUACAGGGUGACAGUCCCGUACACGAAAGCACACAGGCUGUGAACUCGAAGAGUAGGGCGGGACACGUGGUAUCCUGUCUGAAUAUGGGGGGACCAUCCUCCAAGGCUAAAUACUCCUGACUGACCGAUAGUGAACCAGUACCGUGAGGGAAAGGCGAAAAGAACCCCGGCGAGGGGAGUGAAAAAGAACCUGAAACCGUGUACGUACAAGCAGUGGGAGCCUCUUUUAUGGGGUGACUGCGUACCUUUUGUAUAAUGGGUCAGCGACUUAUAUUCUGUAGCAAGGUUAACCGUAUAGGGGAGCCGAAGGGAAACCGAGUCUUAACUGGGCGUUAAGUUGCAGGGUAUAGACCCGAAACCCGGUGAUCUAGCCAUGGGCAGGUUGAAGGUUGGGUAACACUAACUGGAGGACCGAACCGACUAAUGUUGAAAAAUUAGCGGAUGACUUGUGGCUGGGGGUGAAAGGCCAAUCAAACCGGGAGAUAGCUGGUUCUCCCCGAAAGCUAUUUAGGUAGCGCCUCGUGAACUCAUCUUCGGGGGUAGAGCACUGUUUCGGCUAGGGGGCCAUCCCGGCUUACCAACCCGAUGCAAACUACGAAUACCGAAGAAUGUUAUCACGGGAGACACACGGCGGGUGCUAACGUCCGUCGUGAAGAGGGAAACAACCCAGACCGCCAGCUAAGGUCCCAAAGUCAUGGUUAAGUGGGAAACGAUGUGGGAAGGCACAGACAGCCAGGAUGUUGGCUUAGAAGCAGCCAUCAUUUAAAGAAAGCGUAAUAGCUCACUGGUCGAGUCGGCCUGCGCGGAAGAUGUAACGGGGCUAAACCAUGCACCGAAGCUGCGGCAGCGACGCUUAUGCGUUGUUGGGUAGGGGAGCGUUCUGUAAGCCGUUGAAGGUGUCCUGUGAGGGGUGCUGGAGGUAUCAGAAGUGCGAAUGCUGACAUAAGUAACGAUAAAGCGGGUGAAAAGCCCGCUCGCCGGAAGACCAAGGGUUCCUGUCCAACGUUAAUCGGGGCAGGGUGAGUCGACCCCUAAGGCGAGGCCGAAAGGCGUAGUCGAUGGGAAACAGGUUAAUAUUCCUGUACUUGGUGUUACUGCGAAGGGGGGACGGAGAAGGCUAUGUUAGCCGGGCGACGGUUGUCCCGGUUUAAGCAUGUAGGCGGAGGUUCCAGGUAAAUCCGGUUCCUUGUUAACGCUGAGGUGUGAUGACGAGGCACUACGGUGCUGAAGUAACAAAUGCCCUGCUUCCAGGAAAAGCCUCUAAGCAUCAGGUAACAUCAAAUCGUACCCCAAACCGACACAGGUGGUCAGGUAGAGAAUACCAAGGCGCUUGAGAGAACUCGGGUGAAGGAACUAGGCAAAAUGGUGCCGUAACUUCGGGAGAAGGCACGCUGAUAUGUAGGUGAAGCCCCUGCGGGUGGAGCUGAAAUCAGUCGAAGAUACCAGCUGGCUGCAACUGUUUAUUAAAAACACAGCACUGUGCAAACACGAAAGUGGACGUAUACGGUGUGACGCCUGCCCGGUGCCGGAAGGUUAAUUGAUGGGGUUAGCGGCAACGCGAAGCUCUUGAUCGAAGCCCCGGUAAACGGCGGCCGUAACUAUAACGGUCCUAAGGUAGCGAAAUUCCUUGUCGGGUAAGUUCCGACCUGCACGAAUGGCGUAAUGAUGGCCAGGCUGUCUCCACCCGAGACUCAGUGAAAUUGAACUCGCUGUGAAGAUGCAGUGUACCCGCGGCAAGACGGAAAGACCCCGUGAACCUUUACUAUAGCUUGACACUGAACACUGGUCCUUGAUGUGUAGGAUAGGUGGGAGGCUUUGAAGCGUGGACGCCAGUCUGCGUGGAGCCAACCUUGAAAUACCACCCUUUAAUGGCUGGUGUUCUAACGUAGACCCGUAAUCCGGGUUGCGGACAGUGUCUGGUGGGUAGUUUGACUGGGGCGGUCUCCUCCCAAAGAGUAACGGAGGAGCACGAAGGUUAGCUAAUCCUGGUCGGACAUCAGGAGGUUAGUGCAAUGGCAUAAGCUAGCUUGACUGCGAGAGUGACGGCUCGAGCAGGUGCGAAAGCAGGUCAUAGUGAUCCGGUGGUUCUGAAUGGAAGGGCCAUCGCUCAACGGAUAAAAGGUACUCCGGGGAUAACAGGCUGAUACCGCCCAAGAGUUCAUAUCGACGGCGGUGUUUGGCACCUCGAUGUCGGCUCAUCACAUCCUGGGGCUGAAGUAGGUCCCAAGGGUAUGGCUGUUCGCCAUUUAAAGUGGUACGCGAGCUGGGUUUAGAACGUCGUGAGACAGUUCGGUCCCUAUCUGCCGUGGGCGCUGGAGAAUUGAGGGGGGCUGCUCCUAGUACGAGAGGACCGGAGUGGACGCAUCACUGGUGUUCGGGUUGUCAUGCCAAUGGCACUGCCCGGUAGCUAAAUGCGGAAGAGAUAAGUGCUGAAAGCAUCUAAGCACGAAACUUGCCCCGAGAUGAGUUCUCCCUGAGACUUUAAGUCUCCUGAAGGAACGUUGAAGACUACGACGUUGAUAGGUCGGGUGUGUAAGCGCAGCGAUGCGUUGAGCUAACCGAUACUAAUGAACCGUGAGGCUUAACCUUACAACGCCGAAGGUGUUU